GAUGAACGCUGGCGGCGUGCCUAACACAUUCAAGUCGAACGGUGAAGGGACUUCGGUCCCGGAUCAGUGGCGGACGGGUGAGUAACGCGUGAGCAACCUGCCUUUGCUUGGGGGAUAACAACUGGAAACGGUUGCUAAUACCGCAUAAUGUAGCGACUUUGCAUGGAGAUGCUACCAAAGAUCUAUUGAGCAAAGAUGGGCUCGCGUCCGAUUAGAUAGUUGGUGAGGUAACGGCUCACCAAGUCGACGAUCAGUAGCCGGACUGAGAGGUUGAACGGCCACAUUGGAACUGAGAUACGGUCCAGACUCCUACGGGAGGCAGCAGUGGGGGAAUAUGGGCCAAUGGGCGAAAGCCUGACCCAGCGACGCCGCGUGAAGGAAGACGGUUUCGGUAUGUAACUA
rnacentral:rRNA from 1 species